GCCGUGGGGUGCUCUUCUUGGAAGACGGUUAGCGGAGCGUGGAAUUAUAGUCGCUUGCAUUGAUUAUAGAAAUUUGCCCCAAGGAACAAUAAGUGACAUGGUCAGUGAUGCUUUUGAGGCAUUUUCAUUUAUUUGUGAUACUAUUGCUAGCUAUGGAGGAGAUCCUAAUCAGAACUAUGCGCCGCACUUGAAUAUUUGAUCCUUUUGGGCGGUGAUUCUAUCCAAAGUCGUUGUUGUGACGUCAGUGAGCAACCUCGGGCACCACACUGAGUGCUACCGCCUCCCCACCACUCAUGACGCCAGGCUGUUCUACUUCUUCGAAUUCAGGUGGCACAAGGAGGACCCAGUGGUGAUCUGGCUGAUGGGAUGGCCCGGCUACUGCAGUGAGCUAGCCCUCUUCUACGAGAACGGCGCCUUCCACAUAGCAGACAACAUGUCGCUACUCUGGAAUGAGUUUGGUUGGGAUCAGGGAGGCGUGCAACGACGGCAUGAAGAACAACAUCGAGACCAUACGUUCGGUUUCUCUGUGCCCGCUCUGCUGCCAUCCACACCCGCACUAUCCCAGCUCGUGUGCCGGCUCGAGGAGAAGCUCAGGCCGCCACCACACAGAGGGAGAGGAACCCAAGAUGAAUCUAUCCCGCCUUACUGUCCAUGACCCGACGACAGAGACAGCUACUUCGAGCCUAGGCUCGUCGGCGGGGCAGUGCAAGGCGUAACUCCGACGUGGUUCCUCGCCGGUUGGACGGUGUUCAGGCGCAACCCGGUGCCCACUGAGUAC